ACAUAUAUACGUGCUAUAAAUGUGUAACGGUUAUUGUUAAGGUGUUGGUUGCCAGAAUGCAAGAUGGAAGAAGAACAGUGAUUGAAGUUGUAAAGAAAUGUUUAUUUACUGUUACUUUGUAUAUAUCCAAAACCACGACGAGUUGGUAUGUAUAAUCAGUAAAUGGAAAAGCAUGCGAGGAAAAAAAGAGUUAAUUUCGGCUUGUAUAUGUG